AUGUCCGAUGAAGAAUAUAUGUUCAUAGUUGAAGACGUAAACACCGUUGGACUAAAAAGAAUAAAUGCAAUUAUGAAUGUUCAAAACAAGCAAGUUAAGUUCCAACUCGACUGUGGAUCGACCGUCAAUGUUCUUCCGACAAAAGACUACAAGAAGAUAUUCAAUGAUAACGAACUUGUGCAAUUGAAACCGUCAAACCAGACACUUGUUAUGUUCAACAAGACCGAAACUAAGCCUGCUGGAAAGAAGAAAAUCACAAUAGUCAAUCCGAAGAAUAAGAAAUGGUACAAUUUAGAAUUCGUAGUUGUAACUGGAAAUGUUCAGCCGAUUCUUGGAUCUGAAGCGAUUCAGAGGAUGAAAUUAAUUACUGUGAACAAAGUUAAUAUUCACAAUGACAAUAUUUUGAAAGUAGAUGAUAAAACUGAAAAUCAAAGAACUGAUAGCACUGUAAGUGUUGUAUCAAAACAGAUGCUUGAAAAGCAAUAUCCAGAUGUGUUUAAGGGAGAAGGAAAGCUACCCGGAAAACUGAAGUUAGACAUUGAUGAAACCGUUAAGCCAGUCAAGCUCGCUACACGGAAAGUGCCAGUUGCACUUAGAGACAAAAUAAAAAAUGAACUCGAUACUUUGGUUGAAAAAGAUGUUAUUUCACAAGUUGAUGUUCCGACCGAUUGGAUAUCGUCGAUGGUGGUUGUCACGAAAUCGUCCGGAAAAAUAAGACUUUGUAUAGACCCGAAACCACUGAAUGAAGCGUUGAAAAGGAAUCAUUACCCGACUCCGACGAUCGACGACUUGCUACCAGAUUUAGAAAAAGCAAGAUGGUUCUCGGUAGCAGAUGCAAAAAACGGAUUUUGGCAUGUGCAGUUAGAGGAAGAGACUAGUUACUUGACAACUUUCGGUACUCCGUGGGGACGAUACCGUUGGAAGAGAAUGCCGUUCGGUAUAUCGCCAGCGCCCGAGGAAUUCCAGCGCAGAAUGGAUGAAGCGCUCGAGGGAUUAAAAGUCGUGAAAGUUAUUCAUGAUGAUAUCUUGAUAUAUGGUUGCGGAAUUAACGACAAGGACGCACAAGAAGAUCACGAUAAGAACCUGAUAGGGUUAAUGGAUCGUUGUAGACAGAAAGGUUUGAAACUAAAUAAAGACAAACUGAAACUAAGAUUACAGGAAGUUAGCUAUCUUGGUCAUAGAAUUACCGCUGAAGGACUGAAAAUAGACUCCGAAAAAGUGAAAGCUAUUACGGAAAUGCCGAUACCUGAGGACCGACAAGCAGUUCAGAGACUUUUGGGCAUGGUGAACUAUGUACAGAAGUUUGCACCAUGUCUAUCCGAAAUCACCGCUCCACUUAGACAAUUGCUUAAGUCCGAAAAUGAUUUCAAAUGGGAUCCUCACGUACACGGACUAUCAUUUGAUCAGAUAAGAACCGUAUUGUCAAAUACACCGGUACUUCGAUACUUUGAUGAAAAGAAAGAAGUCAUUUUACAGUGUGAUGCAUCGAAAUCAGGACUGGGUGCUUGCUUGUUGCAGGAGGGACAACCAGUAUGCUAUGCGUCGAGAGCAUUAACACCAACCGAAGAAAAUUAUGCUCAAAUUGAAAAAGAAUUACUAGCAGUAGUUUUUGGAAUGGAAAAAUUUGAAACAUACACAUAUGGAAGAAAAAUCGUCGUCGAAUCAGAUCACAAACCGCUUGAGAUUAUAUGUAAGAAAGUUUUGCUUACCGCUCCGAAACGACUACAAAGAAUGUUGUUACGUCAGACUCUACAAAAGUUUGAAUAUGUUGUUGUUUUCAAACCAGGAAUUGAAAUGUAUAUGGCUGAUACAUUGAGUAGAGCAUAUAUUAACAAAGAACUAAGUGGACAAGAUAGACGAUCGGAGAAGGAAGUUAAAACUAUGAAUGCGAUUCAAUUUUUACCGAUCACCGCCGAAAGAUGUAAAACACUACAAUCAGCUACCGCAGAAGAUGAAGAACUUCAAAUUCUUUCGAAAGUUAUAAAGAAAGGAUGGCCGAUUAACAAGGAUGCCGUAGAUAUUAAGAUACAGAAGUAUUUUCCGUUUCGAGAAGAACUUACGAUUCAGAAUGGAUUGAUUUUCAAAAGUGAUAGGGUUGUAGUGCCAAAUAGUGCAAGAGCAGAUCUGACAGAAAAAGCGCAUUCUAGUCACAUAGGAAUACAAGGAUGCUUACGACGAGCAAGAGAAUGUUUAUAUUGGCCGAAUAUGAACUCGGACAUUGAAAGUUAUAUCAAAACAUGUGAAACUUGCAAUGCAUUCAACAUGGAACAACAGAAAGAAAGUCUGCACAGUCAUGAACUCUGUACAAGACCAUGGGAGAAAAUUGCUUGCGAUCUCUUUGAGUUUAAUCAACAAGACUAUUUGAUGACCAUUGAUUACUAUUCCGACUACUUUGAAAUCGACAGAUUAAAUAACAAGAAAGGAAAAGAAGUAAUUGGAAUCUUGAAGAAACAUUUUGCGAGAUAUGGACUACCUGAUUGCGUAUUUUCAGACAAUGGACCGCCGUUCAACAGUCACGAGUUUAGACAUUUCUCGAAUCAGUAUGAAUUUACGCAUACAACAAGUUCACCGAGAUUUCCACAAUCAAACGGAAAAGUUGAAAACGCUAUCAAAACAGCAAAAAGGUUAAUGGUGAAAUCUCAUAAGGAUGCUAAAGACCCGUAUUUAGCAUUGUUAGAUUGGAGAAAUACACCAUCUGAAGGCUUGGAAUAGUUCUCCGUCACAACGCAUGUUUGGGAGAAGAGGAAGAACGCUAUUACCGUCGGCGUCAAGAUUAUUGAAGCCAGACAUUCAAACAGAUGUUGUAGGAAACAAGAGGAUUCAAAAGGAGAAACAGCGUAGCUAUUACAAUCGUAGUGCUAAAGAUAAGACCGAACUAGCGAAAGGAGAUAUAGUCCGAAUAAAACCGUUCAAAAAUGGGAAAGAAUGGACAAAAGCAAAGGUUGAUGAGAAAUGUAAUAUUAGAUCGUACAAUGUGACUUCCGAAGAUGGCAGCACUUAUCGGAGAAAUCGUAGACAUUUAAUAUUAACUAAAGAGCCGAUGAUUGAACAGUCAGAAUUAGAUAUACCAACUCAAACAGCCGCGGAUCGUACUGACAAUCACACCACAACCGAUCGCCAUCGAUAAUCAAGUAGACAAAGUGAUUGAACACCAAGAACCGAAACCAACUAUCAGAACCUCAGAACGUAUUCGUAGUAGACCGAAACAUCUUCAGGACUAUGUAUGUACAGUAGUGCGUUGAAUGGACUUUGUAAAUAUGUGCCUGUUUAAAUUUUUAGUUUGAAUUAGAUUAGGGUUUUGAUAUUGUGAAUUUAUAAUGGACUUAUAAGAGUAGGGUUUCUAGUGAUGGACUGUAAAUAUGUUCUGUAGUAAAAGUU
rnacentral:sRNA from 1 species